UGGGGGCUCGUCUAAUGGCAGGACAGCUGUCUCUGGAACAGUAAAUAGAGGUUCGACCCCUCUGCCCCCAGCAA
rnacentral:tRNA from 1 species